CUACGUUUUAUGCUGGAAGGGAUAAACACAUUGUAUCCUCAUAAACAAGUGAUCUUAGAAGAGAUGGAAAGAUUCAGUACCAUUGCUCUCGGUUUCUGCCUUAUUAUAUCAACUUUAUACAUUCAAGGGUCUUUUGCAAAGGAAUGUUCAGUAGAUGAUGGAUACACCUGCUUGAAUAACUUCUUCAAUGCGUCCAGAGGUGCUAUGUUUAAUCACAGGGCAAG